rnacentral:rRNA from 1 species
UACAGAGGUGCCAAGCGUUAGGCGGAAUCACUGGGCUUAAAGCCCGCGUAGGCGGAUGUUUAAGUGUCUUGUGAAAUCCCACGGCUCAACCGUGGAACUGCUGGGCAUACUGGACAUCUCGAGGCACUCAGGGGCGAGCGGAACAAGUGGUGGAGCGGUGAAAUGCGUAGAUAUCACUUGGAACGCCAAUGGUGAAGACAGCUCGCUGGGGGUGUCCUGACGCUGAGGCGCGAAAGCCAGGGGAGCGAACGGG